GUGGGGAAUAUUGGACAAUGGGCGAAAGCCUGAUCCAGCCAUGCCGCGUGUGUGAAGAAGGUCUUCGGAUUGUAAAGCACUUUAAGUUGGGAGGAAGGGCAGUAAGUUAAUACCUUGCUGUUUUGACGUUACCGACAGAAUAAGCACAGGCUAACUUCGUGCCAGCAGCCGCGGUAAUACGAAGGGUGCAAGCGUUAAUCGGAAUUACUGGGCGUAAAGCGCGCGUAGGUGGUUUUGUAAGUUGGAGGUGAAAUCCCCGGGCUCAACCUGGGAACUGCCUCCAAAACUGCAUGACUAGAGUACGGUAGAGGGUAGUGGAAUUUCCUGUGUAGCGGUGAAAUGCGUAGAUAUAGGAAGGAACACCAGUGGCGAAGGCGACUACCUGGACUGAUACUGACACUGAGGUGCGAAAGCGUGGGGAGCAAACAGGAUUAGAUACCCGUGUAGUCC
rnacentral:rRNA from 1 species